UACCGCCGUGUAAUCCAUUUAUUUCAACAAAGUAGCUGUAUUCUAAAUACCACCUUUUUAAAACGGUAACUGUGACGGAAUACAGUUACAGUAUUAUAGUAACGGAAUACUCAUAUUUUGUAUUUUAAAUACGUAACGGCGGUACAUGUAUUCCGUUACUCCCCAACACUGAGUAUAGUAUACCUAUAGCUGAGCUUUCAAAUGAAGUUUUAUUUAAAAAGAAAUCAUGAUAACUCACUGCCAAAAUUCUACAACAGAAGAUGAUGAAUUUACAGGUGUUAUUACAGGUGGCCCAUGGCAACUCUCCAGAGAAGGAAGAGAACAAGUAGAGAAAAGCCCAGGCUAAAAUCACAAUAUAGCUGAUGCUUCCGUAGAAAAUGAUCAUUUGGCUUGCAUAUCCCAUGCCUGGAAACAACAACUGUUAGCAUUGCAUUCUCUUACUUUUUCUUCAUUGAUCUGCUUCACCACAAUUCCAGUGGUUAGCUCACCUUCAAACAAGGGGCAGACCUUCCUCCAGCACAUGAUUCCUCCCUGACUGGUGUACUGGCCCAGUGCCGUCUCCAGCACAAAUAGAGGUAUGCCACAUGUGAGAAGGAAUAGGAUGUAAGGGAUGAAGAAUGCGCCUGCAGGUCAAAGAAGGGGCAAAUCACCAACUUUCAAAUGAACAUUUCCAUCCCUAAGAGGUAAGUCAAUAAUAUUUCAUCUGUUUUUUGUUUGUUUGAUUUCAUUCAUUCAUUUUUGGAACGUUAUCAUCAAAAUCUGCCACGUGAAAUGUUUACGAUGUCCAGUUUGUUUCCAGUUUAGCACCAUCACAGCUGGAUAUUUUUUCAUUCAAGUGGAGCAAUGCUGAACUUAAAGGGCUUCAGCAAAGAAUCUGAUUGUGUUUUUUGGCAUGGAUCCAGACUGAAUGUUAUUUUUUAUAGCCUUUUGUAACCUGUCAAAUCCUUAAUCAACAGGCAGACAGAGACACAGAUGGAUAGCAGAUACACUUCACAUUGGACAGUUUUAAUCAUUUGCAGCUUUUAACAAAACUUUGAAUGAAAGUAUUUGGCAGUGAAAAUAAAUAUCUAAUUAAAGCCCAUAAUUGUACUUUGGUGAAUAAUAAAAACAUAUCUUCUCAAUUCCUUAAGAAAAAAAAACACUGUGAUCAACCAUAAUACUACACUUUUAAUAAUUAAGGAUAAUGAAUAGAAAUACUUACCUCCACCAUUCUUGUAGCAAAGAUAUGGAAAUCUCCACACAUUGCCUAGUCCAAUAAUAGCACCGGCCACAGACAGGAUGAACUCCUUUUUGCUGCCCCACUUGCCACGCUCUUCAACAGUUUUUGAAGUGCUCUUUGUGGGGAGAUGAAACAGCCUGCACAGAGAGUCUGCCAUACUGCUGAGCAAGUGGUCUGAUGGUAGUACUGGCAAAGACUCUUGAGUGUCUGGAUUGACUGGCUGGGGACUGUCUGAUUUGUAUUGGGUUACCCAAUGCUUAUCUAAUUGAUGACCUGCACGGCCACAAGGGGGACCUCUAGAUUUAUACCCAAAAGUAAUUUCCCAGCAUAUAGCCGACAAACAGGAGAGAGAAGCACAUGUGACUAAUCUCUUUUUGAGCAUGGUAUUGAAGGCUUAGAAAGCAGGGUUCACUGUCUCAAACCACCUAUAAAUGACUAACAACUACAGUAAAAGUGAUAGUUUAACCAAGUUAAAAACAGAGAUUAGUCUCAUCUCAGUCUUCUUGCAUUCAUGUAUAUUGUUAUACAUUAUUACAGUUUUGUGUAAUAAAACAUACAAGGAUCAUGCAGGAAAUUUCCAAUACUUAAUACCGAAGUCCCCAAGAGAGUCUUUGCCAGGAGGCCAAGAAUUUCUAAAGCCUCAUUAGAUGCCAUUUUCUGUGUGCUGUGUACAUUUUGUUCCAUAAGAAGAAGUUCAGCUAAAUGCCUUAGCACCAUGUUGCCUUCUUAAUAAUGAAGACUUAUAGAUAUUUUGUUUAUUUUUAGAGGGAAAAUUUGGGACUCUUCUACUGUGAAGCUAUACUGUAGUGUACACACUGCAGCGUGCGGUUUAGCAUUGUCUUAAAGAAAUAUGCAAGGCCUACUUCAAAAAAGAUUGUUGAGGGGAGCAUAUGUUGCUCUAAAUAAUGUACAGACCUUUCAGCUCUGUGCCUUUCCAGAUGUGCAGUUUGUAAUUAAGUAAUUUGCAUCUUAUUUCCUGUGCAAGCAGUAAAGACACACUCGCUUUUUCACAGGGCUACAUAAAGUCUGGUGAAAACUUUAUUUUCACGUGACCAUAUGUGACAAAAGCUUUGAAGAUGGUAACCACCUUCCUUGCAAGUGGGUAGAAGCAACCUUAGUGGGAUUCAGUUUCACACUGGUUAUGUCAUGUAAAAGAUUUUUUUUUUUAAAGCAGGCCUCAGGUUUUCCCCACUAAAUGACCCACAAUGCCCUUUAAGAUGAAGUUUCUAUAGUCUCAGUGUAGUCUUUAUUAUCUGAAUCUGGAGAGAGUUGCUUUAGCCUCAUCUGGAUAGAUGAGCUGACAUAGAAACAGAAAUAUGUCCAGUAAGAAAAUUAACUUCAAAACUAGGUAGCAGAGCAUCUUUACACAGUCAUUCAGAGUUGUUCUCAGGGUUCUCCUGGCUGCCUGAAACAUUUCUGCUCAUUCUUGAUAAAGUGAACCUUGAGCUCACAUUAUUUAUAAACACUCUAAACAUCACUCUCACAUCAGAAUAUGUGCCCAUAAUUAUGUGCUAGAAAUGUUUCCAGUGCACAGUUGAAUCCAAAUGGUACACAGGUGUGUAGAAAGUUGUGGGGAACAUAAGUUCUUGUUCUAUCUAGAGAAAUCAAUCUUUAGUAAGGAUUUGUAGAAGUAAUAUAGGUUGGUGAACUUUAACCUCCUAAGACCCGAACUCUUCCA